CCAGGUUAGAGUGUUGUGUUAGAGUGUCGUAGAGGGUUAUGGAACCCUUGAGUCAGUCUAGCACCGAUAUACGGUGUUACGAGUUAGAUCGAGUCGUAGAUACUCAUAGUUAUUUUUGUGAUUGUGGUUGAUUGAUUUGCUUGCAGGUUAUGGCAUUAAGUCCUAAGUCUGGUUUAGGUACCAGAUUAGGCUUGAUGUGUAUUUCGUUAGUGUAGGCCUGACGUUGGCCUGUAUGUGUUUGAGUGAUUGCUUGUGAAGGGUGGUGGAUAUUAAAGCUAUGCGGUAUCAUUGGUUGGCCAAUCAUGUUCUUGUCUGAUUAUUGGUCGACUGGUUAAUGAUCCUUGUAUAGUCUAAGUGUCUAACACUACAUGAGUAUUGAACUCAGGCGUAUAUAUGGUUAACUAGGGAUUGGUUGUUGAGUUGUUUGCAUGCAGGUUCCCGUUACUUGGAAGUUGGAUCAUGGCAGGAGGCUAGGUCUAAACUGAGUAACGGUUUGUUUAGUUUUAGCUUUGAUUGCUUGCUUAGGAUAGAUUGCUUGUUAUUUUGGGUUGUCUGGGUUAGUUUCUUGGUUUGGGUAGAGGUAGCCAGCUCACUGAGUAACAUUAGGUUACUCAUCCAACUCUGUUGUCCUUUUUGCAGGUCGCUUUAGGUAAGGAUGAUCGGAUAGCUUGGUGCUGGACGUUAGGACUGCCGGUGUAGAUUUUCAUACCUUUUGUAAACGGUAUUGUGGAUCUGUGUUUAGUUGACUCGAUUUUGGCAUUAGGCCAUGGUCGGGUUGCAAAGCCUUGUGCCUUGAAGCAGCGGGACGAGUUAGUG
rnacentral:lncRNA from 1 species